ACUCCUACGGGAGGCAGCAGUGGGGAAUAUUGCACAAUGGGCGCAAGCCUGAUGCAGCAACGCCGCGUGAGGGACGACGGCCUUCGGGUUGUAAACCUCUUUUAGUAGGGAAGAAGCGAAAGUGACGGUACCUGCAGAAAAAGCACCGGCUAACUACGUGCCAGCAGCCGCGGUAAUACGUAGGGUGCAAGCGUUAUCCGGAAUUAUUGGGCGUAAAGAGCUCGUAGGCGGUUUGUCGCGUCUGCUGUGAAAUCUGGGGGCUCAACCCCCAGCCUGCAGUGGGUACGGGCAGACUAGAGUGCGGUAGGGGAGAUUGGAAUUCCUGGUGUAGCGGUGGAAUGCGCAGAUAUCAGGAGGAACACCAAUGGCGAAGGCAGAUCUCUGGGCCGUAACUGACGCUGAGGAGCGAAAGCAUGGGGAGCGAACAGGAUUAGAUACCCUGGUAGUCCAUGCCGUAAACGUUGGGAACUAGAUGUAGGGGCCAUUCCACGGUUUCUGUGUCGCAGCUAACGCAUUAAGUUCCCCGCCUGGGGAGUACGGCCGCAAGGCUAAAACUCAAAGGAAUUGACGGGGGCCCGCACAAGCGGCGGAGCAUGCGGAUUAAUUCGAUGCAACGCGAAGAACCUUACCAAGGCUUGACAUAUACCGGUAAAGGCUGGAAACAGUCUCCCCGCAAGGUCGGUAUACAGGUGGUGCAUGGUUGUCGUCAGCUCGUGUCGUGAGAUGUUGGGUUAAGUCCCGCAACGAGCGCAACCCUCGUUCUAUGUUGCCAGCACGUAAUGGUGGGAACUCAUAGGAGACUGCCGGGGUCAACUCGGA
rnacentral:rRNA from 1 species